AAGUCAGUGCAAUUCACAUAUUUUUGGUGUUGGUGCCUUUAUGAAUAUUCCCAUUACAUUUUUCAGUAACACAUUUUCAAUUCAGUAACAUAUUUCUAACUGUAAUCACAUUACAGUUAGAUUUACCGCAUGCUAACACAAAGCUAUAGUGAAUAACUAAGACUGAUGUUAAGGCUGAGUCCUGGGCCCAGCCCAGCAGCAGGAGGCUGAACUUCAACAGUGCAGCCGCUGAGUAACAGGACCUGCUUCCAGAAGAACUUUGUGUAGGAUGCAGCUGGGUGAAUCCAGGAAGAGCAGGAAACCUCAGAGCCAGCAGUCAGCUGACUUCAGCUGGUCCACAAAGGAAACGUGCUGGAGCCCACAUUAGACAUGUAUGCUGCUUUUUUCUAAGUGAAGGUGUGUGGUUCUGCUAAUGGCCGCCAGGUGGCGCCAGAGUCCGCGCUUUAUGUCAUCGACAUGGCCAAAAAGCUCCAGAAGUUUUCAGAAACAGAUAACACGUUAGUGAUUGUAAUCCUGGUCCCGCCGUCAUCUUUAUGGUUUCCUGGCA